rnacentral:rRNA from 1 species
UAAAUUGAGAGUUUGAUCCUGGCUCAGGACGAACGCUGGCGGCGUGCCUAACACAUGCAAGUCGAGCGGAGAAAGUUCUUCGGAACUUUCUCAGCGGCGGACGGGUGAGUAACACGUGGGUAACCUGCCUUAUAGAGGGGGAUAGCCUUCCGAAAGGAAGAUUAAUACCGCAUAACAUUUUCAUUUCGCAUGAAAUGAAAAUCAAAGGAGCAAUCCGCUAUAAGAUGGACCCGCGGCGCAUUAGCUAGUUGGUGAGGUAAUGGCUCACCAAGGCGACGAUGCGUAGCCGACCUGAGAGGGUGAUCGGCC